rnacentral:rRNA from 1 species
CAAUAGCGUAUAUUAAAGUUGUUGCGGUUAAAAAGCUCGUAGUUGGAUUUCUGCUGGAAGCGAUCGGUCCGCCCUCCGGGUGAGUAUCUGGUUCGGUUUCGGCAUCAUCUUGGAGAGCACAUCUGCACUUGAUUGUGUGGAGUGGUAUCUAAGACUUUUACUUUGAGGAAAUUAGAGUGUUUCAAGCAAGCAUGUGCCUUGAAUACAUUAGCAUGGAAUAAUAAUAUAGGGCCUUGGUUCUAUUUUGUUGGUUUCUAGAGCUGAGGUAAUGAUUGAUAGGGACAGUUGGGGGCAUUCGUAUUUAACUGUCAGAGGUGAAAUUCUUGGAUUUGUUAAAGACGAACUACUGCGAAAGCAUUUGCCAAGGAUGUUUUCAUUGA